AGCACAACUCACUGUGUGUAAUCUUGUGAGAUCAUCAGAAACUUGCUGUAUCAGUACAUUUCUGAGAGUAUCGUUAUCUCACGGUGACUCGAGAUUUUUAAGGAUUUCUACAGAUUUUGUAGGAUCUUCUAUUUUGAAGAUCUCUACAGGUUUUGUAGGAUCCUAUAUUUUUAUCAGACAAAGUUCUUCUAGUCAUUGGCUAAUGAAUUAUUUUUGUUGAAUGUGAUUUUGUGCAUCGACAUGUUACUCAGCUGUUGAAAUGUUGUUAAAUUGUUGACUCUGUGACAAUCAGAUCCCGACCCAAACAAGCAGAUGCUUCUGCUGAUGCUGUUAUUUUAGAUGCUUCAUGCUUCAAGUAUGAAUAAUUGUUAUGCUGUAAAUAGUUAUCAAAUGAAUGCAGAAGUGUUGGAUGUUCAUUUGAGUGAGGAAGUGGUAGUCUGAUUUAAUAAACAAAGUCUGCAGAUUAUAGCAGAACCAUGGC
rnacentral:misc_RNA from 1 species